GCCGUCUUAGCUCAGCCGGUAGAGCGCGUGGCUUUUAACCACGUGGUCGUGGGUUCGAUUCCCACGGCGAUGACG